GUGCCAGCAGCCGCGGUAAUACUGGAGGGUGCGAGCGUUAAUCGGAAUUACUGGGCGUAAAGCGCAUGCAGGUGGUUCAUUAAGUCAGAUGUGAAAGCCCGGGGCUCAACCUCGGAACUGCAUUUGAAACUGGUGAACUAGAGUGCUGUAGAGGGGGGUAGAAUUUCAGGUGUAGCGGUGAAAUGCUGUAGAGAUCUGAGGAAUACCAGUGGCGAAGGCGGCCCCCUGGACAGACACUGACACUCAGAUGCGAAAGCGUGGGGAGCAAACAGGAUUAGAUACCCUGGUAGUCC
rnacentral:rRNA from 1 species